CUGUCUCCAUGGCAAUGGCGACCUGGCCAGACCUGAGGUCCACUCGGGUCCUAGUCCUGCACUCUGGGGUUAGGGGAACCCAGAGCCAGGUGUAUGGGGACAUCAGCCCCCCAAUUUGAGGACAGGGCCGGAGCAGAAGGGGCUGGAGAGGCCUUGUGCUAGACUCUGGGGAUAUGGAAAUGAGCAAAGUAGAUGUACCCCCGAAACUUGUGGACUAAUGGAGGAGACGGACCUUAAUCAGAUCGUCAUUCAAAGAUACUAUUACAAACUGUUCUGAGAGCCGAGGAAGCAGGAAGGAGCUGUGAGAGACUGAGCUCUAACCUUGGCCAUCAAAGACAAGCUGUGCAGCUCUGGUUUUUUGAGGGCAGGACAUGGAGGGUCAGGCCCAGCUGGAGGCGCACCAAAGCCCAGAGAAAAUUCAGAACCACGUGAACUUGUUGGAUUUCAGCCCCUUGAAGCACAUGUUGCUAUUGCAGCUGCCUUGAUAACUGGGGGGACAGGAGGAGCACGGCUUUCCCAUCUUGUACGGGGACUCGCCAAUCCAGUUGCCCCUGGAAGAGAAAAGGACCCAGGGAGACAGAGGAGCAUUAGGCUACUAAUGACUUCAAGAACAUCAGAAUAAUACAAUAGAAAGAAUUUGGAAUUUGGAAUCAAAAGACUGAUUCUUCUGAACCAGCUCUACUACUUGUUGGCUUUGUGACAUUUGGUAAAUUACUCAACCUGCCUGAGCCUCAAUUUCUUAAUUUGUAAAAAGAAUGUCCUCCUAGGGUUCCCCCCUUUUUCCUUCUUUCUUUCAUCUCUUCAAUGAGAUAGUGUGAAAGUAGUUUGUAAAUGAUUAAAGGCUAUGUGACAGUAAAAUGUGGUUAUUAUAUAAUUUUGGAAUUCUAGGGCAGGCACGGUGGGUGGCUCACACCUAUAAUCCCAGCACUUUGGGAGUCCAAGUAGGGAGAUUGCUUGAGG
rnacentral:lncRNA from 1 species